ensembl:miRNA eca-mir-9154 eca-mir-9154
ACUCAAGAGUGCAGUUGCUGUAAUGAGCUGCCACUUUUGCAGUGUCAGCUAUGGGCCUGAGAAAUGGCCUCAGGCUCAUAGUUGACACUGCAUCGCCCAAGUUCACAUGCUUCCAGCAUAGUCGUCCUG